ACCUGGAUAGCUUAUAUUUAGAGCAUAACACUGAAGAUGUUAAGGAAACUUUUUGUUUUUAGGUA
rnacentral:tRNA from 1 species